AUGGCUGAAGGCACCAUGGGACAGACCACCAUCACCCAGCAAGAAGGCCAAGUCACGGUAGAGGAGAAAGACACCUUCCAAACAACCUGCACAUACCAGACCUCCAGCUUUCAUGCCGUCUUGUAGUAUCAGCAGAAGUAAAGACAGGCCCCACAGCUGGUAUCAUAUCACGCAGCAUCUGAGCGGAGUGGCCGUCUCACCACAUUGCUGAACACCACAGGGAAUCACAGCUUCCUGCACUGGAGGAAGUCAAGGUCUCUGACAGUGCCUUGUACCUCUGUGCUGUGCCAGACAGCCUGGUGCAGGGAGCUUCCUGGGCUGUGCAACAGCCCAGGGGUUUCCUGCAGGCCUGUCUCUUCGAGUACCUGCUCCAGGAUGUGUCCCUCAGAGGUCACAGUUCAAAGUGCACCUCCAGCCUCAAGACAUGUCCUGCUAUGACCAGUGCCUGCCAUGCCUGCCAUGCCAGCCCUGUGGCCUGA